CAGCUGCUCCCUCAGAAAGGAACUGAAUCUGGAGUUUAUGUUGCAGUUAGCACCGCUAGCAGCCAUUAGUUGAUUGUAUAGCGGAGCGGUAGAAUAAGACAGAGGCAGCUUUUAUUUUAUUAGAUAGCGAUUUCUAUAUCAGCACUGUUGUUGGCCACCGUGUACUCCAAAACCGUGUACUCCAAACCACACUUCUAUUAGGCGCUCGGUUUCAACCAUACGGAAAAGAACACAGUGCGCAUGUGCGCUACUACGUGGUGCGUUCCACGCACCCAAGAUCCGUUAGAAAACGCAGAACAUUGUAACACAGCAAAAACUUUUUAUUACCCAACCGUCAAAAUAUAAUAUGUUAAAAAAGGAGUAGUUUUACGACGUUACACCACGUUAUAUCAAAGCGGAAGUAAUUCUUGUGGUUUAAAGAAAAAGUUUAAAAUAUAAGAUGUAUAAGAAGUUAAGAAAAAGCAGGCAAGACACAGAAUUAAAUGAAUGAUUGGAACCAAAGUAAGAAUAACGUUUUAAAAUAAUUUUAAAAAAUAUCUCUCACUCCUCCUCUCUCUCGUCUCCGACCUUGAACAGUUUCGAAAGUGAAAGUAUUUAGAAUCUUUUCUCGGACUCAAUUUUGACUGCGCAGAACAAUGACAGGACAGAGACUGACUUGACUGACUGCAUAUGAGUGGUUCUGUGAGUACGGAACCCAGCUGUCUCUCUGUGAAGACUUACUGGUCCAAGGAUGAGCCCCCAGAAUUCAGUCUUAGACACACGACGUGUGUUCUCGAGACUGAGAGCAGAGUCUCCAGAACCCAGCUGUCUUUCUGUGAAGACUGACUGGUCCAAGGAUGAGCCCCCAGAAUUCAGUCUUAGACCAAGCCCUACAGACACACGGUAAGACACUUUGGUCCAGACUGUCUCUUGGUCCAGUUUUGAUGA